rnacentral:rRNA from 1 species
AGUCAUAUGCUUGUCUCAAAGAUUAAGCCAUGCAUGUCUAAGUAUGAGCGUCUGAUAACGGUGAAACUGCGAACGGCUCAUUAAAUCAGUUAUCGUUCACUCGGCCGUACCGGGUGCAAUGCCACAUGGAUACCUGUGGUAAUUCUAGAGCUAAUACAUGCGAAAAAUCUCGACUCCGCGAGGGGAAGAGACGUGCUUAUUAGAACGAAAGCCAAUGCGUGUCCGUCCCUCGGGGCGGCUCGCCUACCAAAAGGUGAUACACAGUAACUGUUCGAAUCGCAUGGCCUCCGCGGCGUUCUCUCGAGGGCGUCGUGGGCAGAGCCGGCGAUGGUUCUUACAAAUAUCUGCCCUAUCAACUGUCGAUGGUAAGGUAGUGGCUUACUAUGGUUUUUACGGGUGACGGAGAAUGAGGGUUCGGUUCCGGAGAGGGAGCCUGAGAAACGGCUACCACAUCUAAGGAAGGCAGCAGGCACGAAAAUUACCCAAUCCCGACUCGGGGAGGUAGUGACAAGAAAUAACAAUACGGGGUCUUCAACAGGUCUCGCAAUUGGAAUGAGUACAAUCGAAAUCCUUUAACGAGGAUCCAUUGGAGGGCCAAGUCUGGUGCCCAGCAGCCGCGGUAAUUCCAGCUCCAAUAGCGUAUAUUAAAGUUGUUGCAGUUAAAAAAGCUCGUAGUUGGAUUUUCGGCACUGGCCGGUCGGUCCCGCUCAGUCUGCUCGUCGUUCUCGCGCUUACCUGUGAGGUUGUCCGUUGUGUGUUUUGUCUCGGUGCCCUAAGGGUUGUCGAGCGGGCGCACGCGCUCCUCCAGGGGUCGGGGCGGUGGCAGCGAGUGUGUUUCACUGGUCGGUCGGUGGUCUGCACAAUUCGCAAUCGGACCGCGCGUGCUCUUUACCGGGUGUGCGCGGGACUUGCGACGUUUACUUUGAAAAAAUUAGAGUGUUCAAAGCAGCCUCUUGGUGGGUCUGAAUACAUGAGCAUGGAAUAAUGGAAGAUGACUCUCUAGUCGUCCGGGGCUCUGUCCUCGCGACGCGCGGUGCGGGGCGGUUCGCCGUUCUCGUACCGUUGCUGACGGGUGCCAUCCUCGGCGGCUCGGUCUUGCGUUUUGUUGGUUUUCGAGACCGGAGUAAUGAUUAAGAGGGACCGUUGGGGGCAUUCGUAUUUCGUUGUCAGAGGUGAAAUUCUUGGAUUUACGAAAGACGAACAACUGCGAAAGCAUUUGCCAAGGAUGUUUUCGUUAAUCAAGAACGAAAGUUAGAGGAUCGAAGACGAUCAGAUACCGUCCUAGUUCUAACCGUAAACGAUGUCGGCUAGGGAUCGGCGGGCGUUCACAUACGACCUCGCCCGGCACCUCACGGGGAAACCAAAGCUUUUGGAUUCC